ensembl:lncRNA
GUUUAGGUAUGUAAGUGGUAUGUGUGACAGCAUCUGUCUGGGACCAGAAGAAUCACCAGAGACUCCAUUACAAUCAGCUUCAUAAUGGGCGUGAACGUCGUGCAUUUCUCCAAUUCAGAAUUUUGUUGCUUUUUUUCUGCCUAAAAUGGCUCGUUUGAUGAGAAAUGCUCCCAGAGCUCCACGAAAGCUCGGCCAGCAGCAAAGUUGGACAGCGGCUCGGUGCUCAAAGUGUCAUCGAACAUGAAAAAGGCCUUCCCUAUAAGCAUUUCCUUGGCCUUGACAGCUUGCUAAUGAGGCUAUUGAUUGCAGUAACACAUGCUGAUGAAGGAUCAAUGGGCCAGGCGCCAUAGGGUGACAUCUGUUAACAAUGCUGGAUGAUUAAUUUAAUAUGUGGCUGGGAAACUCAAUCUCUCUCUCUGGCCAAUCAUGCUGGAGGUAGCUCCCAUCGAAAAGAAGUGACGUUCACUGCAAGAAUGAAGAAACAAAGCAGGUCUCCAAUCAGUAAAAGCUUACCAAAGAGCUCCCUCUCAGCAACAAGAGAAUCCAAACCACAAUGGAUGAGAUUUCCCUCUGACUGCUGCCGAUGAAAUUUGUAGAUAAAGGCGGAGCUCCCCCACCUUGAACAAGCACGCACGCGCAAAGACACACAACGCAAACGUGCACACACAGACGGACACAAACAAACCGCAAUCAAAAUUUGACGGUUGUUUGUUGGAUACUGAAACAUGGACAGGUGUCACAGUUCAGCUUCACCCCCUCCUCGCGCUACUCAUCAGUCUGUCAUAAGUCCCCUCACCUGUUCUCUCACCUGCAUCUGAUCAUCCAUCAAACCACUGUACAGACUCCUGCUGCUCAGACACACAGGUUUUCCGUGACGGACCCUCCCGCGGACUGACACCCUGUUACCGACCCGGCCUGCCUUUCCCCGUUCUUCCCGCCUGGCCUGACUCCCGAUAUUUCCUCAACAGCUGGCUGCAAAACAGAGUUUGGUCUGGUCUGUGAGACAAUAAAAGCUCAGAGUCUGGCUAGACUUACUGUCAAAUCAAAGCGACAAGCACACAGGCCUCUGUAAACUCCCAUUAACCUGUGACUGAUGACCUGCUCAGACAGGGCUCCUGACAUCCAGCCCUCUCUGAGAAGUAGAUCGAC